GAAGGGCGGCAUACAAAUAAAAUAAAUCAAUCAAUCAAAUAAAUGAAUAUAAAGAGCUAGCUGAACUGGUAGAUCUGAAUGAAAGUUCAUAUUUUGAAUGUAUGCCUGUACAAUCUUGCACAUGGAAGGAAUCUUCUGUGUAACAUUUUACUCCUUAUAAAUCUUGUCUUAGAAAAGAAAGGGUCUGUAUAGUAUGUGAGAGCUAACAAUGAGAAUGUAAGCAGCAAGGUGAAAUGAGGUAGUCUUCUCUGCAUUCAGAGGAUUUAGCAAAAGGAGAAACAGUUGGUGGGCAGAAAUCUAAACUUACAUUCAUAGCAGGGUUGAGUAUGAAUGAAUCAGAGCUGUGAACUCAUGCUGUUAUCAUAUGACAUGGUUGCCCUGCCCCCUGAUAGCAACAGACCUCACAGAAGAACUGAGAAAAAUUAUGAGAAAUUAUCUAUCUAGAGGUUAUAUUCACUACAGUAAGACAAUACUUCCACAGAACUGACAUUUUAUGUACAUGGCUGAAUGCCUCAUGUUUCAUUUUGCUGUUUUUCAACUUCCUGUGCUUAUAGAACCAUAGGAUCCGAGAGGCUAGACUUAAUCUUAAUUGUCUCAGCCUUACAUCUGGGCAAAGCAUAUAUUUUUCAGGAGCAGAACUGUCAUGCCAAUCCCCAGGAUUCAAUUCAAGUGACAUACAUUUUAGGUAAUGUUUGAGCAACAUAUGUAUCAAUUUUAACAAAAUAAUUCACAACUAAAGAGAAAUGUCAUAACUAUUAACCACUGCUUUUAGAAUUAUAGAAAAUGGCCUGUUUAUUUAUGAUGACUUGACUCAUACACUGCAUUAAAUCAGAUUCACUUGGUUGUGGUUUAUUGAAUAAACUAUAAUAAACACACUAUCAUAAACCCUGGUUUUGAAAUCAGAAGGGAUGGAUUGCAGUACACAGUAAACCAAAACCAAACCACAUUAUGUUUUAACUAUAUUAUAUGAAUUCAGCCUAUCAUUAACACAAAAACAAAUCUUCCUCCUAGAUGUCAUUUCUUGCUGUUUUUCUUAUGUACAGACCUUAUCUGUGCCUUUAGAAUUAUAAUCUGAAAUAACGAUCUACAUAUUCCUCUGGACAUACAUUUACCCCCUGAUGUGCACUGCAUACUUACAAUGCCCUUUGAAACAUGUAAAAUCAGCACAAUUUUACAUGUUUCAAAGGACACUUUUACAGGAUAUAAAUAGUAUUGUGAGGAACUUGUUAAGCAAACUCCACACUACAUUUUUUCACCUCUCAUAGCAAAAUAACUAACAGGACUUCUCUUUCCCCAAGAAGAUCAUGGAAAUUGUCACUUAAAAUUAUUUACAAUCAUGUUGUACAUAUCUAUUAAUUUGCCCUAAUUCUAGGAAAGCAAGACUUGAGUGUUCAAUCUAUCCAACUCUGGAUAGAUUAAAAGAGCAGAAAAAUUGUUGACAACCAAAGACAAAAAUGGGGAGUGGGUGCAUGGGUGGGUUUGACAUGCUGUCUACAUGCUAUCCAAAUUAUCCUAGCGGCUCCGGAUAAUUUAAUAGCAUAUUCUUUGGAGUAAAUCAUACUUCUUCAGAGCUGGUGCCCUUCAAAAUAUUAAAUUACUAUAGCUUCCAUUAUCCUAGCCUGCAUGACCAUUGCAAUUUGAUAAGAUGAGCAUUAUAGUCUAACCAAGUAGACUAUAAUAGAAGAAUAGAGGCUGUAAAACUCAGAUAGAUCUGUGACCACUUGUAGAGUUCAUAUGGAACAUCUUUGAAUGAACCAAGACAGUAAAUAAGAAUGUGGCAGAAUCUUAUUCAUAUUUUUUUUACUUGUAGAGACAAAGCUUUUUUUUCAAUAUAGUAAUCUUACAUUGACAUCACAAACUUGUACAAACUAGCCCCUGAAGAAACAGGCUAAACAACGCAUCAUGCUUCCAGGAUGCACAGAAGCAUUCCAUAGGCAGUAGGGGCACUGCCUAAUUUUCUUUUCAUUAUUGUCUGAAGAAUAGCUCUGUGUCAUUUGAAAGCUUACAAUCUUGAAAUAAGUGCAAUUUGAAAACUUAUAACUUGUUUAACAAAAGGCACCGUUAGGAAAAGUUACUGUCUCAGAAAGAGGACGCUCCUAUCCAAAGAUUAGUUUUUAAUAAAAUAGGGAGCAGGGCUAAAAUCUGAUUGAAAAACAGCCCGUUUUGGAAGAUCUGUCCCAAAAUCAGAGUGGGAGCGGCUAGUUUUUGUUAGCAGAGAAGGGGGGGGAAACCUCCUUGUCCUUCAAAUCAUUUUAAUUUUAUUUAUUGAAAAAUUCAAGGAUUAUGCAUUAAAGCUAAGCCCUGAUUUAGGCACUAUACUUCAGAUAUUAUACUGCCACCCUUAUUAAGGAAUAUCUGGCUGCCUAAAAUGGUGGCAUAGCUUGCUGCACAAUUGCUCAAAUCAAGCAGCAAUGCUGGUGGUAUUCACAGGCCUGGAGAAAAGAUAGCUGAUUCAUUUUGGCAUCAUGCCAUGCUAGGCCUAUGACAGUAUCCUAAUGACGAAUGUGUUAAACACACACACACACACACAAACACACACACACAAACAAGGUCCUUUGGGCCCACUCAGUGCAAAGAGGGCAGAUUGUCCUGUUUUGUUUGUACAAAACACAGGGAGGGAGCUAUUUUCUUAAUGCAAUCUAACUGUACCAAGGGGUGCUGAGGGUAGAAAAUGCCAAUUAUUUUUUUUCCUCCUGAAUAAACAAAAUGGCUACUUCUUAGAAAAAGGCAACUUAAGAGAGAGGGGGGGGGGGGAAACAGUGGCAAUUUUCAACGAUCCCCACUCCCAAACUGGGAGGGUGGCUGGCAGGCAGGCCUUAAGCCAACUCCCGCCAACUUCCAAGCCAUGAAGGAGUAGGGGGAGGAGGAUAUAUGAAUGGGAGCAACCAGUCUCCACACAUCGCAACCAUGCCAUGGCCUGUGAAAGACAAGAGAGUGACUGUCCCAGCAAGACACAGAUAUUCCCCCCCCCCACUUCCCACCCACACGCCCCAAACAAAGGGAGCAGCUGCCUCAGCAAAUGCUCCAGUGCACAUUGGAGGGGGGGGGGAAUUGGAGGAUGAGCCAAGGGAGCUGUUCCCAGUGACUAAGAGCUACUGAUCUUCCUCCCACCCACCCUUCGACCCCACCCAUAGUUUUCAAUCUUUGAGAGCCUCAACUUAGCACUGGGUCAUUAGACCACCGACCUUCCCACCUCUCUCCCUUUCCUUGCCAGUGCCCUAAAAUGUUCAAAAAACUGUGGGACUGGGGAACAGAAACCACCACCUCCAAAGUGUGCCUGGUGGGGGGGAGGGGUUUUUUUUGGGGGGGGGGGGGGAAGCAGAGCCGAAGGGGAAGAGAACAGUCUUUAAGUACAGCAUCGGCCGUCCUGUAUUACUUUCCGCCACCCCCCCCCCCCGCGCCCAUGGCUACAAGCCACCUGCUCUUCCAUCCCUUCUCCGGAAUGCUUUCACCCCAAAAAUCCUCCGUAUCCCCCUAUUUCCUCCUUCUGAUUUCCGCAGAAGGGAUCACCCCCCCACCGGCAAUUUUAAUCAUAAUCACGUGGAUGGGGGGCGAGACGAGGAACGGGGGGGGGGGAGCGGGAAAGGGAUAUAGAAAGAAAAAAAAAGAGAGAUGAAGGAAAUCGCCCGGGUCAUUCGGGGAUAAGGAAGCCCGAGGCCGAAGCCAGGCGAUUUCCGUGCGCCAAAGCGGUGCGCGCCCAGAGCGUAGCCCGGUGCGGUCGUGCGGCCGGCUGCCUCCCGCCCCCAGUCUCCACAUCUUUUCUACAUCGUGGCGACCAAAACUGAAUGUGGUAGAGCUGAAACUGAGCAUUGCUGGGACAAAGGGUGAGAUGCUGGAUGGCUUCUAAAAAGCACAAGGAGGAACGGGAAGGCAAAAUUCCACUCCAACAUUUUACUCUGCCAUGGGCUGCAGCCAAGUUUGUGAGCAGCAGCAGCAGCAACAGCUCCAAUCAGCAUCAGCAAGAGAUGAUGAAACUUGCAGUACUGGAAGGCAUCAAGUUGUUCACUAUGUUACAACAACUCUGCAAGAUUGGUUGGUAUUUCAUUAUCCAGACGGAGGGCUAGAAAACUCAGCUCACACUGUUAGCCAUUAUGUUAGCCAGCUGCAUAGAUAUUAGAGGAAUUUUAAACAGCAAUAGUGAUAUAAAGACAACUGCAUGGCAGUGGCACACAGGACAGAGAAGCUAUGGGACGGUGGAACACAAAAGGAAGAGCACCUGGACACAGAAUCACUCAUUUAACAGGGAUGAAGCAGACAUCCUGAAGUAUCCCUGUAAUAUAGACUGAAAGAAAGGCUCUUGGGAAUAUUAUGUGUUGCAGCUUCAGGGAAAUGGGGAUGGCAGGGAGCAGAUACAGGAACGGAGUGGGAGGUUGCACAAAGGCAGAAAAGUUUGGCAGGUGGCUGUACCUGGCCGCCCCAACCUCAGAGUGGGGUCACUGGUUCGUCAGCAAUGCCAAAGCUCUGGCAAAUAAAGAAAAAAAACAAAAGCCUUCAGGGAUGACCUAAUGAACCCUGGAGAGGAAGGGGUGGGAUAGCUGAAUCAUACUAUUUGGAACACAAAACACAUAACUCUUAAAAUAGCCAGAAGGGUACCAAUAGCUGAAAGAUGGUCUUUCACAACUUUGUGAUGGGACAGAAAUGGCAAUGGUAGGUGAAAAGACUUGGGGGCACCCUUUCAUUCGGGGCAAGUCACAUUCUUAAUAAUGAUUUCUAUAAUCAACAGAUUCAACUGCUAAUAAUUUCUCUGAUUCACAGUAUUUCAGGCCGUAACCACUUCUCCCCAGGGAAUGAGGUGGGGUCACUUCCAAGGGAUCUUGAUUAUAAUAAUGAGAUGUCUAGGUUGAGACCCUCCCUCUGUAUGUUUUUGAAAGCAAAAGUUAAUUCAAGUAGAAUGCCAGUCUAGCACAAUUUCCCUUUCCCCACAUAUAGCCUGAAAUAAUACA